rnacentral:rRNA from 1 species
UACGUAGGUGGCAAGCGUUAUCCGGAUUUACUGGGUGUAAAGGGCGUGUAGGCGGGACUGCAAGUCAGAUGUGAAAAUUAUGGGCUCAACCCAUAACCUGCAUUUGAAACUGUAGUUCUUGAGUGAGGGAGAGGCAGGCGGAAUUCCGUGUGUAGCGGUGAAAUGCGUAGAUAUACGGAGGAACACCAGUGGCGAAGGCGGCCUGCUGGACAUUAACUGACGCUGAGGCGCGAAAGCGUGGGGAGCAAACAGG